AACAUAGAUUAAUAUUAGGAAGAAAGAUAUCCAGCCAUUUGACAUUGUAGUAGUUUAUCCAGAAUUUAGCUGCAAAAUUCUAUGCAGCAUCACAGAGCAGAGUAUAGAAAGGUGAAGGUUGGAAGCUGAGAGAUUAAUAACUUAAAACUUGUCACAAUAGGGAUAAUAUGAUGUGUUUAGAAAUAAAGAAUAGAUAACUUAUGACAUGUAAUAUAUAAUAUACAUAAUGGCAGACACUCAGUGUGUGAAAAUCGUGCUACUGAUAAUAAUGAUGAUGAUGUUGGUGGUAAUAAACUGAACAUCCUGAUUCUUUGCCUGGAGAUUAUUAUAACCUUUAAAAAUAUUCAACCCUGACAUUAGAUGGUUCCCUCCUUCAGCACCAGCAUUAAUUUUCUUGAACUUUUUAUACGUUAUCUUGCUGUAAGUAACCAUCUGUGUUCUAACAUAUUUAAAUAAGAAAACUAGGGAGAAUUAAGAAUAUAUAAAACAUAUAAAUAAUAAAAUACUACCUAAUAAAGUCAGAGAGAGUUUGUGUCUUGCAGUUCUUUCGGCUGAAAUCCAUUUGUUAUUAUCCAUAAUAUAACUAGUCACAUUGUGUGGUGAUAAGUUGUAGUAUAGGAGCAUUCUAUAAUCUGCCAGUGAAGUCUAUUAAAUCUCAGUCUUAUAGUGGAUAUGUGUGCCAGGGCUGUGACAUUCACAAAUGUAUCUUUAUUCAUGUAGAUUUCUUCCCUCUGCCUGCUUCUUCUUCUGACUAAAGCAUUCUCAAUCUAUAUCCUUGCAGUCCCACACUUGUUGAUCAUUGCCAACCCCACCAGAUGAGACAGAAAAUUUGAAGGUGACUGGAACGGAGAAGAAUGUCCUUCCUCAGUUAUGAGUAAGUUUCACAAUUGUCCUCUGUCAAGGUGCUUUAACCUGGAGAGUAGGCUUUUUUAUGUAGAAGACUCUAUGUGUAUUUUACAUCAGUUACUUUCCCCCUGUGCCAGCCAUAGCCUAUAGGGGAUCUUUCUUUGAUCAACAUUGUAACCUGAUAUGGUUUCAGGAGAGAAAGCCCAUGAAAGUAUGGGGGCUCCCCUAAGACUGUGAUCUCAGGAAUUCCUUACUCUGAAGCUGUUCCAUCCUUAUCGUCCAGCAAUUUAUAGUUAUCAUUUAAGUGUUUCUACCAGUUGUAGCUUCAGUGGCUUCUGCUCCAGGAUGGAACUGGAGUCCCACAGAAACACCAGAGAAGCCUUACCUCACCACCAACCAU
rnacentral:lncRNA from 1 species